UACGUAGGGGGCAAGCGUUGUCCGGAAUUAUUGGGCGUAAAGCGCGCGCAGGCGGUCAUUUAAGUCUGGUGUUUAAACCUUGGGCUCAACCUGAGGUCGCACUGGAAACUGGGUGACUUGAGUACAGAAGAGGAAAGUGGAAUUCCACGUGUAGCGGUGAAAUGCGUAGAUAUGUGGAGGAACACCAGUGGCGAAGGCGACUUUCUGGGCUGUAACUGACGCUGAGGCGCGAAAGCGUGGGGAGCGAACAGG
rnacentral:rRNA from 1 species